rnacentral:rRNA from 2 species
AAACAAUCAAAACUUUCAACAACGGAUCUCUUGGCUGUGGCAUCGAUGAAGAACGCAGCGAAAUGCGAUAACUAAUGUGAAUUGCAGAAUUCAGUGAAUCAUCGAGUCUUUGAACGCACAUUGCGCCCGCUGGUAUUCCGGCGGGCAUGCCUGUCCGAGCGUCAUUUC